rnacentral:rRNA from 1 species
AUAUAAAUUAUUUUAAAUGUAAAAAAACAUUUAUUUAAAAAAAAGACGAUAAGACCCUAUUGAACUUAACUUAAGUUAAACUGGGGCAGUAAAUUAAUUAUUAUUUUAAUUUAAAAAUUAAAACACUAAUCCAAUUUAAUUGAAUUAUCAAGUUACCGUAGGGAUAACAGCGCAAUUAUAUUUCAAAGACCUUAUAUUAAAAAUAGAUUACGACCUCGAUGUUGAAUUAAUAACCUAAUUAAAGCAAAAGCUAAAACAGGAAGUCUGUUCGACUUUUAAAAAAUUACAUGAUUUGAGUUCAGACCGGUGUAAGCCAGGUCGGUUUCUAUCUUUUAGAAAAAUUUUUACAGUACGAAAGGACCUAAAAAUAUAAUUUAAUUAUUAAAUUGGCAGAUUAAUGCAUUAGAAUUAGAAUCUAAUAAAUCUUCA